CAGCAGCCGCGGGAAUACGAAGGGUGCAAGCGUUACCCGGAUUUACUGGGCGUAAAGGGCGUGUAGGCGGCCUGGGGCGUCCCAUGUGAAAGGCCACGGCUCAACCGUGGAGGAGCGUGGGAUACGCUCAGGCUAGAGGGUGGGAGAGGGUGGUGGGAUUCCCGGAGUAGCGGUGAAAUGCGCAGAUACCGGGAGGAACGCCGAUGGCGAAGGCAGCCACCUGGUCCACUUCUGACGCUGAGGCGCGAAAGCGUGGGGAGCAAACCGGAUUAGAUACCCCAGUAGUCCCUGUCUCUUAUAC
rnacentral:rRNA from 1 species